rnacentral:ncRNA from 3 species
UUGAGCCGUAUGAGUUGAAAGGCUCAAGUACGGUUCUGAUGGGGGAAAGGAACCGAAAGGUUCCCGACCUACCAGAC